rnacentral:pre_miRNA from 1 species
UAUUAUGCCAUGACAUUGUGUCAAUAUGCGAUGAUGUGUGUGAUGGCACAGCGUCAUCACGUAGUGACGCAACAUCAUGACGUAAGA